UUCCGGUUGAUCCUGCCGGACCCGACUGCUAUUUGGGUGAGGAUAAGCCAUGCGAGUUGAAUGGGAUACCUAAAGUUCCCAUAGCAACCUGCUCAGUAACACAUGAUCAACUUGCCCUAUAGAGAAAAAUAACCUCGGGAAACUGAGGAUAAUGUUUCAUAACUGAAUUGGCUUGGAAAAGUUUUUCAGUGAAAGGGAUAAAAUAAAUGGUUUUUAUCUGCUAUAGGAUAGGAUCGUGUUCGAUUAUGGUUGUUGGUGAGGUAAUGGCUCACCAAGCCGAUAAUCGAUAGGGGCCGUGAGAGCGGGAGCCCCGAGAUGGGUACUGAGACAACGACCCAGGCCUUACGAGGCGCAGCAGGCGCGAAACCUCCGCAAUACACGAAAGUGUGACGGGGUUACCCAAAGUGUUCAAUUUUGAACUGUGGUAGGUGAGUAAUGUUCCCUACUAGAAAGGAGAGGGCAAGGCUGGUGCCAGCCGCCGCGGUAAAACCAGCUCUUCAAGUGGUCGGGAUAAUUAUUGGGCUUAAAGUGUCCGUAGCCGGUUUAGUAAGUUCCUGGUAAAAUCGGGUAGCUUAACUAUCUAUAUGCUAGGAUACUGCUAUACUAGAGGGCGGGAGAGGUCUGAGGUACUACAGGGGUAGGGGUGAAAUCUUAUAAUCCUUGUAGGACCACCAGUGGCGAAGGCGUCAGACUGGAACGCGCCUGACGGUGAGGGACGAAAGCCAGGGGAGCGAACCGGAUUAGAUACCCGGGUAGUCCUGUCCGUAAACGAUGCAUACUAGGUGAUGGCACGGGCCAUGAGCCGUGUCAGUGCCGUAGGGAAGCCGUUUAAGUGUGCCGCCUGGGAAGUACGUCGCAAGGCUAAAACUUAAAGGAAUUGGCGGGGAAGCACACAAGGGGUGAGCUGCGAUCAUGAUCACGCGU
rnacentral:rRNA from 1 species